GUGGGUUCAGGGUUCGAAACCCAUAACUCACACUUUUAUUUUUUCAUUUUGUUUCCUUUCAUCCUGCUUCCCCUAAUCCCCUGCUUCCAGCUUUCCUCUUCCUCAUUCCCCCAAAUUGCAAAACCCUAACUUCUUCCUCCUUCUCUUAAUCUCUUCCCGUUCUUCCUCCUUGGCUCCUUCUCUUCCCGUUCUUCCUCCUUGGCUCCUUCUCUUCCCGGCGCACGGGCGCAGCACCGCAGAAGUCCGCAGCAGCCACUCAGGCACUCAGCCAGCACCGCAGCACGGCAGGUCGGCAGUAGGCCAGUAGUCACUAGUCAGCCCACUUUGCCGGUUUCCUUUAAGGCUUUAAUUAAGUCGAUUAGAAGGGGAUAAUCAGUGCUCGGUGCUCCACUGCUCCGUCAUCCACUCAUCCAUAUUUCGUGGCUCUGUAG